rnacentral:rRNA from 1 species
GACGGGGGGGGCAAGUGUUCUUCGGAAUGACUGGGCGUAAAGGGCACGUAGGCGGUGAAUCGGGGUUGAAAGUGAAAGUCGCCAAAAAGUGGCGGAAUGCCCUCGAAACCAAUUCACUUGAGUGAGACAGAGGAGAGUGGAAUUUCGUGUGUAGGGUGAAAUCGUAGAUCUACGAAGGAACGCCAAAAGCGAAGGACAGCUCUCUGG